UACGUAGGGUGCGAGCGUUUGUCCGGAAUUAUUGGGGCGUAAAGAGCUUGUAGGCGGUUUGUCGCGUCUGCCGUGAAAAUCCGGGGCUCGAACCCCCGGACUUGCGGUGGGUACGGGGCAGGACUAGAGUGUGGUAGGGGAGACUGGAAUUCCUGGUGUAGCGGUGAAAUGCGCAGAUAUCAGGAGGAACACCGAUGGCGAAGGCAGGUCUCUGGGCCACUACUGACGCUGAGACACGAAAGCGUGGGGAGCGAACAGG
rnacentral:rRNA from 1 species